UUUCCCGUAAGGCGCCGAAUGAGUCAUUAAAAAAUUAACUUCAUCCGAUCCCUAGUCGGCAUAGUUUAUGGUUAAGACUACGACGGUAUCUGAUCGUCUUCGAUCCCCUAACUUUCGUUCUUGAUUAAUGAAAACAUCCUUGGCAAAUGCUUUCGCAGUAGUUAGUCUUCAAUAAAUCCAAGAAUUUCACCUCUGACAAUUGAAUACUAAUGCCCCCAACUAUCCCUAUUAAUCAUUACGUCGAUCCUAGAAACCAACAAAAUAGAAUCGAUCGUCCUAUUUCGUUAUUCCAUGCUAAUGUAUUCAAGCGUAAGCCUGCUUUAAGCACUCUAAUUUUUUCAAAGUAACAGUCCUGUUUCCCCGCAACACCAAAUUAAUGGCAUCACGGUUCUUCAAGAGGGAGGGACCAGUGAGACCAGUGCAUACCAGUGGCACGACCGACCUACUGGCCCCGAAAUUCAACUACGAGCUUUUUAACUGCAACAACUUUAAUAUACGCUAUUGGAGCUGGAAUUACCGCGGCUGCUGGCACCAGACUUGCCCUCCAA
rnacentral:rRNA from 1 species